rnacentral:rRNA from 1 species
UACAGAGGUCUCGAGCGUUGUUCGGAUUCAUUGGGCGUAAAGGGCGCGUAGGCGGCGGGGUAAGUCUGGUGUGAAAUCUCGGAGCUCAACUCCGAGAUUGCACUGGAUACUGCUCUGCUAGAGGGCUGGAGAGGAGAUCGGAAUUCACGGUGUAGCAGUGAAAUGCGUAGAUAUCGUGAGGAAGACCAGUGGCGAAGGCGGAUCUCUGGACAGCACCUGACGCUGAGGCGCGAAGGCUAGGGGAGCAAACGGG